rnacentral:rRNA from 1 species
UACGGGGGGGGCAAGCGUUGUUCGGAAUUACUGGGCGUAAAGGGCUCGUAGGUGGCCAACUAAGUCAGACGUGAAAUCCCUCGGCUUAACCGGGGAACUGCGUCUGAUACUGGAAGGCUUGAAUCCGGGAGAGGGAUGCGGAAUUCCAGGUGUAGCGAUGAAAUGCGUAGAUAUCUGGAGGAACACCGGUGGCGAAGGCGGCAUCCUGGACCGGCAUUGACGCUGAGGCGCGAAAGCCAGGGGAGCAAACGGG